UAAGAGAGAUCAUCAACUCAUCUAAAUAAAUCAUAUGGUCACAUAAAUAAAAAUCGAAUAGAGAAAGUGAGAAAUGAACCUUAAAGAUUUUUUACCAAAAAAGAAAUUUGGAUCCUAUUUUUGGGGUGUUCAACAGAAACUCAAGGAUGGGCAACAAACAACAAACAACUAUUGGACAGGAAUUGCGAAUCAGUGCAUGAGCGAAACCAGAGCUCGAAAACCUCGAAUGGACCAACAUAUGUAGUCAAUGAAGAAGAAGGACCCUGAAAUAUAGUGUAUCCACGGUCCUAUGUGCCACCGCAGCUAAGUUCAUCAGCGUUUCUACAAAGAAGUUGGUGCGAGAAGUUGCAGUAGAUGUAGAGUAGAAGUUUUUGAAAUCUGAAGCUAUAAACAUGAAGGAGAUGCUUAACACCAUGGUUGAGAGAUCCACACACAACCAAAGUUUAGACCCUACAUCUCCUAAUUGCUUUGAGACCAAAAAGUGUGCCAUUUUUUUGAGUUCUAUGGCAGGGAAUCUAUCCUUUAUUUGUGCUUUUCUCGACAAAAUGAAGAAAAAGCCCCCAAAAAUCUGAUGGGGGUCCCUUUUUUGGUCACUGCGGCGGAAACAUUUUGCUCUUAGACAUCUCGGUUUUU
rnacentral:lncRNA from 1 species